UCAAAAUAAAGAGUCGAAGUAGUUUUAUUCUCAGAAGAAUCAGAAGCGUUGCAGUGAGAGAUCAGAAAUGGAGAAUCGUACGAAAACGCGCCGAGAUUUCGGAUUCUGUUUCUUCAACUUUUCAUCUAACACACAACAAAUUAAACGCCUCCGAAGACGAAGAAGAUGAAACCAAUACGAAAGCAAUCCGGGUUUCUUGCGUGGAUUCGGUCGUGAUCCGAUCAUGAAGGCGCCUAGGUUGCGCUGAUGCUUUCCGGAAUGGGAUCAGAUAGGUGGCCGCGCACGCGAAGAGAGGGGGGGAGGGGUUUGCGUGCAUGCGCACAAAGUGUUUGUCGUUUGGUCUGAGAGAAAAGGAAGGCGAAAUGAGCGGAGAAGGUACGGUGGUGGUGAUGGAUGGGAUGUCAUGCCAGAUUGCAGCGCGCGCGCGCGCGCACACACGCCUUUCUCUUGUGCUCUGUCUUCCACUUUUUUUUUAGUUCAAUAUUAAAUUGUUCGUAUCAAUUCAAGUUCAUCAUGGGUAAAUAUUAUGUGUUUUAAUUUA